UCAGAUGGUUGGAGCACCGCUUUGUUCUUCGGAAUAAAGAGGAAAGUCCGGGCUCCUUAAAGGAAGGAUGCUGGCUAACGGCCAGCGGGGGCGACCCUAGGGAAAGUGCCACAGAAAAUAUACCGCCGUAAGGUAAGGGUGAAAUGGUGCGGUAAGAGCGCACCGCAUUCUUGGUGACAAGAAUGGCAGGGCAAACCCCAUCCGGAGCAAGACCAAAUAGGAACAGCGUAUAGCCCGCCUUGAGGUUGUUGUUCGGGUAGGUUGCACGAGCUAAACAGUAAUGUUUGGCCUAGAUGAAUGGUGCUCACUCUAGUAAUAGAGACAGAACCCGGCUUAUAGACCAUCUGAUAUC
rnacentral:RNase_P_RNA from 5 species